AAACCUGAGAAACCCGAAAGAUCGAAUGGGGAGAUUCAUCGUCAGCGAUUCUGGUACGUGUACGGUUCGCGAUGUCGCGGGACUUCGGUCUCGUGACACGCGUCCGUAUGUUUUUUAUUGCCGGAAUCGUCGGCGUGCACUUCUCCCCUAGUAGGACGUCGCGACCCGUUGGGUGUCGGUCUACGGCACGGCAUGGUAGCCUGUCACGUGUGUCGCUUCGCGGUGUGUUCACGCGGGGCAGACCGCCGUUCGCCCGACCGGCUGCCCGGCGGUACUCGCAAGGUAUCUGGCCGCAGACAUACGAACUGCGUCCGGCCCGUCGCAAGCGCGGCAAGUGUUUCCCGGCUGUACGGAUCCAAUGCCGUCACCGGGCCUUGCCGCCUGUUGGUUGACGGUGUCCUAGGACUGGCUAACAGAUACCGGUCGGCGACGCUACUGCUUUGGGUACUUUCAGGACCCGUCUUGAAACACGGACCAAGGAGUCUAACAUGUGCGCGAGUCAUUGGGAGCUAUUAAGCCUAAAGGCGCAAUGAAAGUGAAGAUCGGCCUUUAGCGCCGAUCGAGGGAGGAUGGGCCGCGUCACGAUGCGGUCCCGCACUCCCGGGGCGUCUCGUUCUCAU
rnacentral:rRNA from 1 species